AUACGGAGGAUCCGAGCGUUAUCCGGAUUUAUUGGGUUUAAAGGGUGCGCAGGCUGCCAUUUAAGUCAGCGGUUAAAUCGUGGGGCUCAACCCCAUUCUGCCGUUGAUACUGGGUGGCUUGAUUGCGGUCGAGGUUGGCGGAAUUCGUUGUGUAGCGGUGAAAUGCAUAGAUAUGACGAAGAACACCGAUUGCGUAGGCAGCUGACCAGACCGCAAAUGACGCUCAUGCACGAAAGUGCAGGGAUCGAACAGGAUUAGAUACCCUGGUAGUCCGCACAGUAAACGAUGAAUACUUGUUUUCGGCGAUAUAAUGUCGGAGGCAAAGCGAAAGCGAUAAGUAUUCCACCUGGGGAGUACGCCGGCAACGGUGAAACUCAAAUGAAUUGACGGGG
rnacentral:rRNA from 1 species